CACGGGCCAAAUUGAUCCACGUCGGGUGCAGGCAUAUAAACUUGUGUAUGAGGUUUGAUUCUGUAUAUUUCCUCUCGCGAGAUGAACGGAAAUUUCUUUGUAGUAUAUAGACUUGCGUUGUCGAAU
rnacentral:lncRNA from 1 species